GGGGGUGUAGCUCAGUGGUAGAGCAUGUGCUUAGCAUGAAUGAGGUCCUGGGUUCAACCCUCAGCACCUCCA
rnacentral:tRNA from 1 species